rnacentral:tRNA from 1 species
CCGCCGGUAGCGUAGUGGUCAUUGCACCAGACUGGUAUUCUGGAUGUCGUGGGUUCGAAUCCCACCCGGUGGG